AAUAGAUACCCUGGUAGUCCACGCCAUAAACGAUGAGUGCUAAGUGUUAGGGGGUUUCCGCCCCUUAGUGCUGCAGCUAACGCAUUAAGCACUCCGCCUGGGGAGUACGGUCGCAAGACUGAAACUCAAAGGAAUUGACGGGGGCCCGCACAAGCGGUGGAGCAUGUGGUUUAAUUCGAAGCAACGCGAAGAACCUUACCAGGUCUUGACAUCCCGCUGACCGGUCUAGAGAUAGACUUUUCCCUUCGGGGACAGCGGUGACAGGUGGUGCAUGGUUGUCGUCAGCUCGUGUCGUGAGAUGUUGGGUUAAGUCCCGCAACGAGCGCAACCCUUGAUCUUAGUUGCCAGCAUUCAGUUGGGCACUCUAAGGUGACUGCCGGUGAUAAACCGGAGGAAGGUGGGGAUGACGUCAAAUCAUCAUGCCCCUUAUGACCUGGGCUACACACGUGCUACAAUGGACGGUACAGAGGGUCGCAACCCCGCGAGGGUGAGCUAAUCCCAUAAAACCGUUCUCAGUUCGGAUUGUAGGCUGCAACUCG
rnacentral:rRNA from 1 species